rnacentral:tRNA from 1 species
ACGUUGUCCUGGCUGAGCUGGGUGUGCAGCCGCCCGCCGACGCCGGGCAGCGGGUCGAUCUGCCCGACCGGGAUGUUCGCCCGUCUGGCGACCUG